GAGUUUGAUCAUGGCUCAGAUUGAACGCUGGCGGCAGGCCUAACACAUGCAAGUCGAGCGGCAGCGACUUAACUGAACCUUCGGGGAACGUUAAGGGCGGCGAGCGGCGGACGGGUGAGUAAUGCCUGGGAAUAUGCCCUGAUGUGGGGGAUAACUAUUGGAAACGAUAGCUAAUACCGCAUAAUCUCUUCGGAGCAAAGAGGGGGACCUUCGGGCCUCUCGCGUCAGGAUUAGCCCAGGUGGGAUUAGCUUGUUGGUGAGGUAAUGGCUCACCAAGGCAACGAUCCCUAGCUGGUCUGAGAGGAUGAUCAGCCACACUGGAACUGAGACACGGUCCAGACUCCUACGGGAGGCAGCAGUGGGGAAUAUUGCACAAUGGGGGAAACCCUGAUGCAGCCAUGCCGCGUGUGUGAAGAAGGCCUUCGGGUUGUAAAGCACUUUCAGUAGGGAGGAAGGUAGUGUAGUUAACACCUGCAUUAUUUGACGUUACCUACAGAAGAAGCACCGGCUAACUCCGUGCCAGCAGCCGCGGUAAUACGGAGGGUGCGAGCGUUAAUCGGAAUUACUGGGCGUAAAGCGCAUGCAGGCGGCCUGUUAAGUCAGAUGUGAAAGCCCGGGGCUUAACCUCCGAAUUGCAUUCUAAACUGGCAGGCUAGAAUCUUGUAGAGGGGGGUAGAAUUUCAGGUGUAGC
rnacentral:rRNA from 1 species